GGUCCCGUAGUGUAAUGGUAGCAUAUUUGGCUCCAAACCAAACGGUUGCGAGUUCGAGUCUCGUCGGGGCCA
rnacentral:tRNA from 1 species